rnacentral:misc_RNA from 1 species
AACGCAAAUUGCGCUCGAGGCUUCGGCCAAGAGCAUGUCUGCCUCAGCGUCGGCUACUACCCUCAAUCACCUUUCAUUGGACUUCCAGUGUGCAGGGAAUUGGAGCUGGCCGUCCGGUUUGCCUCUUGGCUGCCGGUCAGCUGAAAUAUAAUCACGCUUUGAGGGCCUCUUUCCUUUCAAGGAAAGGCAAGUUCCGAUUUGGUAGGUGACCUUUGCCGGUUGCAUGCCCUUCGUUGCUUGCUACGCCUUUCAUCGGCCGUGUGCAGGACGCCUUUUGGCUUUCGACCUGAGGUCAGGCAAGAACACCCGCUGAACUUAA